rnacentral:rRNA from 1 species
AACGAACGCUGGCGGCAUGCCUAACACAUGCAAGUCGAACGAGACCUUCGUGUCUAGUGGCGCACGGGUGCUUAACGCCUGGGAACCUGCCCGUAGGUUCGGAAUAACUCCCCGAAAGGGGUGCUAAUACCGGUUAAUGUCUUCGCACCAAAGAUUUAUCGCCUUUGGAUGGGCCCUCGUUGGUUUAGCUAGUUGGUAGGGUAAAAGCAUAUCAAGGCGACGAUCCAUGGCUGGUCGGAGAGGAUGACCAGCCACAAUUGGAAUGCGACACGGACUAGAACGGUAGGGAGGGGAGGAGUAGGGAAUAUUAGACGCUGAGGGAAAGUGUGAUCAAGCAAUGCGGGGUGAGUGAUGAAGGGCUUAGGGUUGUAAAGCUCUUUUACCCGAGAUGAGAAUGACAGUAACGGGAGAAUAAGCUCCGGCUAACUACGCG